rnacentral:rRNA from 1 species
CAGUCGCCGCGGUAAUACAGAGGGUGCGAGCGUUAAUCGGAAUUACUGGGCGUAAAGCGCGCGUAGACGGUUUUGUAAGUCAGAUGUGAAAUCCCUGGGCUCAACCUGGGAACUGCAUUUGAUACUGCAUGGCUAGAGUAUGGAAGAGGGAAGUGGAAUUUCCGGUGUAGCGGUGAAAUGCGUAGAUAUCGGAAGGAACACCAGUGGCGAAAGCGACUUCCUGGUCCAAUACUGACGUUCAUGUGCGAAAGCGUGGGGAGCAAACAGGAUUAGAGACCCGUGUAGUCCCUGUCUCUUAUAA